UAAACCGGAGGAAGUGGGGAUGACGUCAAAUCAUCAUGCCCCUUAUGACCUGGGCUACACACGUGCUACAAUGGUUGGUACAACGAGUUGCGAGUCGGUGACGGCGAGCUAAUCUCUUAAAGCCAAUCUCAGUUCGGAUUGUAGGCUGCAACUCGCCUACAUGAAGUCGGAAUCGCUAGUAAUCGCGGAUCAGCACGCCGCGGUGAAUACGUUCCCGGGCCUU
rnacentral:rRNA from 1 species